UACGUAGGGUGCGAGCGUUGUCCGGAAUUAUUGGGCGUAAAGAGCUCGUAGGUGGCGGGUCACGUCGGGUGUGAAAGCCCGGGGCUUAACUCCGGGUCUGCAUUCGAUACGGGUCUGCUGGGGUCCGGCAGGGGAGACUGGAAUUCCUGGUGUAGCGGUGAAAUGCGCAGAUAUCAGGAGGAACACCGGUGGCGAAGGCGGGUCUCUGGGCAUUAACUGACGCUGAGGAGCGAAAAGCAUGGGGGAGCGAACAGG
rnacentral:rRNA from 1 species